rnacentral:RNase_P_RNA from 2 species
GUGACGGACUGGAUGAUCGCCACGGCGCUUGGAUUUGAUGGAAACAUCAAUCUGAGGGCAUGCCGUAGAGGAAAGUCCGGACUCCGUAGGGCGCGGUGGUGGGUAACGCCCACCGCCCGAUUGAUCUCGGGAAGGGAAAGUGCCACAGAAAACAGACCGCCACGGUGCGCUUCGGCUCGCCGGGGUAAGGGUGAAACGGUGAGGUAAGAGCUCACCAGCAGGCCGGGUGACCGGCUUGGCUUGGCAAACCCCACUGGGAGCAAGACCAAAUAAGGGAGCAACGCCGCCUGACUGACCGCAAGGGAAGAAGGGCGACGGCGGAUUUGCCCGAUCCGGAUGACUUCCGGGUAGGUCGCUAGAGGCGUCGGGUAACCGGCGUCCCAGAGAAAUGAUCAUCCGGGGACGUUCGCGUCCCCGACAGAAUCCGGCUUACAGGUCCGUCACGAUC